UUUAUAAAACCUCAAAAUAUAUGUAAAUAAUAAAAUAAAUGUAAUGCUACUACUUAACAGAUUUUCACCUAUUGCAGUGGUCUCUGGAAUGUAACUCCCAUGAUAGGUGAGGGAUCACUUUCUCCUACACAAAUCUGACAGUAUGUCAUUGGGACCUCCCCUGGCAAACAAAAGAACUUUGAUUGGUAGAUGAGUUGGCUUUAAGGGGUGUCUGAUUACACUCUCCUCUGAUACUCAAGGAAUACCAGUUGCUUCACAAGAGAUGGACUCCCUGCAGCAGUCUUGGCUCAACCAGGUUUUGACUGACUUGGUUUUCCUUUUGUAGACCAGAUCACCACAAACUUUGGUAAAGGAAAAGCAAGGAUGCAAAAGUCAUCUUUUGGAGAGAACCUUAGCUCAAACUGACUUCUGUGUAUGAGAUUAAAAAAAAUUGGCAGAUGGCACAAAUCUGAAAGGAUUUUCAAAUAUACCGUAUAAUGGAUUUGGGAUCCAAAAGAAUCUCAAAGAGAGAGAGCAUUGGCUGAAUCCAGAGAUGAAAUUCACAAGGGAUCGAUGUAAAGCUUUCCAGUGGCAAAGAACUCAAAACCAAGAUGAGGUUAGCCCAUUGUUAAGACAGCAGGCCAAGAAAACACUCUGCAAGUCGACAGACGUUCUUCACGGACUAUGUUCCCUUGAGGGAAACAGCCUGGAGAUUUUGUAUGGUGGGUCCUGGGGAUGAAAUACUAAGAUUUUCUCAGUGCUGAAAUGGUUCUAUUGGUGAGCUAGUCAGGAACAUUUGAAAUGUUUUCACCCCACCGGGGUCACAUUCAAUGGGAAUGUGAAGAUCCCAUUUGAAGCUGCUUGCCACCAAGCUGUUGAUGAACUAGCAUAGAUGCUCUCAAGUUUACUGAUCUAUUAAUAAUC
rnacentral:lncRNA from 1 species